UACGUAGGGUGCGAGCGUUGUCCGGAAUUAUUGGGCGUAAAGAGCUUGUAGGCGGUUUGUCGCGUCUGCUGUGAAAAUCCGGGGCUCAACCCCGGACUUGCAGUGGGUACGGGCAGGCUAGAGUGUGGUAGGGGAGACUGGAAUUCCUGGUGUAGCGGUGAAAUGCGCAGAUAUCAGGAGGAACACCGGUGGCGAAGGCGGAUCUCUGGGCCAUUACUGACGCUGAGGAGCGAAAGCGUGGGGAGCGAACAGG
rnacentral:rRNA from 1 species